rnacentral:rRNA from 1 species
AUACGUAGGGGGCGAGCGUUGUCCGGAAUGAUUGGGCGUAAAGGGCGCGUAGGCGGCGCGGUAAGUCUGGAGUGAAAGUCCUGCUUUCAAGGUGGGAAUUGCUUUGGAUACUGCCGCGCUUGAGUGCAGGAGAGGUUAUCGGAAUUCCCGGUGUAGCGGUGAAAUGCGUAGAGAUCGGGAGGAACACCAGUGGCGAAGGCGGGUAACUGGACUGCAACUGACGCUGAGGCGCGAAAGUGUGGGGAGCAAACAGGAUUAGAUUCCCUGGUAGUCCACACUGUAAACGAUGAAUGCUAGGUGUAAGAGGUAUCGACCCCUUUUGUGCCGGAGUCAACACAAUAAGCAUUCCGCCUGGGGAGUACGGCCGCAAGGUUGAAACUCAAAUGAAUUGGCGGGG